rnacentral:rRNA from 1 species
AUUGAACGCUGGCGGCAGGCCUAACACAUGCAAGUCGAGCGGAUGAAGGGAGCUUGCUCCUGGAUUCAGCGGCGGACGGGUGAGUAAUGCCUAGGAAUCUGCCUGGUAGUGGGGGAUAACGUCCGGAAACGGGCGCUAAUACCGCAUACGUCCUGAGGGAGAAAGUGGGGGAUCUUCGGACCUCACGCUAUCAGAUGAGCCUAGGUCGGAUUAGCUAGUUGGUGGGGUAAAGGCCUACCAAGGCGACGAUCCGUAACUGGUCUGAGAGGAUGAUCAGUCACACUGGAACUGAGGCACGGUCCAGACUCCUACGGGAGGCAGCAGUGGGGAAUAUUGGACAAUGGGCGAAAGCCUGAUCCAGCCAUGCCGCGUGUGCGAAGAAGGUCUUCGGAUUGUAAAGCACUUUAAGUUGGGAGGAAGGGCAGUAAGUUAAUACCUUGCUGUUUUGACGUUACCAACAGAAUAAGCACCGGCUAACUUCGUG